rnacentral:rRNA from 1 species
GACGAACGCUGGCGGCGUGCCUAAUACAUGCAAGUAGAACGCACAGUUUAUACCGUAGCUUGCUACACCAUGGACUGUGAGUUGCGAACGGGUGAGUAACGCGUAGGUAACCUGCCUGGUAGCGGGGGAUAACUAUUGGAAACGAUAGCUAAUACCGCAUAAUAUUGAUUAUUGCAUGAUAAUUGAUUGAAAGAUGCUAUUGCAUCACUACCAGAUGGACCUGCGUUGUAUUAGCUAGUAGGUGAGGUAACGGCUCACCUAGGCGACGAUACAUAGCCGACCUGAGAGGGUGAUCGGCCACACUGGGACUGAGACACGGCCCAGACUCCUACGGGAGGCAGCAGUAGGGAAUCUUCGGCAAUGGACGAAAGUCUGACCGAGCAACGCCGCGUGAGUGAAGAAGGUUUUCGGAUCGUAAAGCUCUGUUGUAAGAGAAGAACGGGUGUGAGAGUGGAAAGUUCACACUGUGACGGUAUCUUACCAGAAAGGGACGGCUAACUACGUG